GGGGGUGUAGCUUAGUAGCAGAGUGCUUGCCUAGCAUGUGGGAGGCCCUGGGAUCCAUUCCCAGCACCUCCU
rfam:Ictidomys tridecemlineatus contig089513, whole genome shotgun sequence.